AUCAUUUUGGCAGACUAGUGCAUUGAAUUUAGAAUUCAAAUAUAUAUUUAAUAAAUAUAUAUGAUA
rnacentral:tRNA from 1 species